GACAGAGGGUGCAAACGUUGUUCGGAAUUACUGGGCGUAAAGCGCGCGUAGGCGGCAGCGUGUGUCGGGCGUGAAAUCCCACGGCUCAACCGUGGAAGUGCACUCGAAACUGCGCAGCUGGAGUCUCGGAGAGGAAGGCGGAAUGCUUGGUGUAGAGGUGAAAUUCGUAGAUAUCAAGCGGAACACCGGUGGCGAAGGCGGCGACCUGGGUAGAUACUGACGCUGAGGCGCGAAAGCGUGGGGAGCAAACAGG
rnacentral:rRNA from 1 species